rnacentral:sRNA from 2 species
CCGGGCGGAUCGCCGAAUCCUGCCACCGUCCGGAAACCGCAACCGAACCAUUCGCGCGGCAGGAGCGGGGGAACCAGGUAGGCCGCCGUCCCCGGAGAUCCAUUUCUCCGGUGCCGGCUCGGGGUGAAGCCGUGCAUGUCCUCGUGCAUGUACGGCCGGACAUCUCCAGUCCGAACCCGACAGCUCACCUCGCAGGCGCCGGAGAGGAAUC